rfam:Triticum urartu cultivar G1812 contig677540, whole genome shotgun sequence.
UAAAUACUCCCUUCGUCCGGAAAUACUUGUCCGAGAAAUGGAAAUGGAUGUACGUGACGUACUUUAGUUUUAAAUGCAUUCAUUUGUAUUCAUUUCUACGACAAGUAUUUUCGGACAGAAGGAGUAUGUU